AUACUUUUCUCGGCCUUUUAGCUAAGAUAAAUUGUAAUAAUUGUUCUUUUGAGUUUAAUAUCUUGGUACGUGGACCAUAUGUUUAAUUUAAUAUUAAAUUUAUUUUUAUAGGUAUUUUUUGGAAUGGUCCCGCACUGGCCUACUAGGUUCACUACAGGACUCGUCUUCUUUGCCUAGUGCCACAGACACUAGGCAAAGCCUCU
rfam:Zea mays cultivar B73 chromosome 1, whole genome shotgun sequence.